CAAGCAAGACUACCCGCUGAACUUAAGCAUAUCAGUAAGCGGAGGUAAAGAAACUAACU
rnacentral:rRNA from 1 species